rnacentral:lncRNA from 1 species
CGUAAUCCCAGAAAUUUGCCCAAAUUAAGAAGUUUCAUGAAAGCGGGCUUCAAAUGACCAAAUGGACUAAAAUCUAAUUUACUUACCAUCUUCACGCAUCUCAACUAUACAUACAGAAUUGGAAUAACAUUAUUUGUCUUGUUCACAAUCAAGAAUCAAGAAAAGGAACUUCUUUUUCGUGAAAAUGAGCUUGAUCAAGUAAAAAUAGAGAAUCUUACAGUUUCUUUAACUAGGUCUUGU